rnacentral:tRNA from 1 species
UGGGGUGUGGUUCAGUGAUAGAGUGCUCCCCUAGCACAUGCAGGGGCCUGGGUUCCAUCCUCAGCACCACAU